UACGAGGGGGGCAAGUGUUAUUCGGAAUCACUGGGCGUAAAGCGUGCGUAGGCUGUUUCGCAAGUUGGAAGUGAAAGCCCGGGGCUCAACCCCGGAAUUGCUUUCAAAACUGCGAGACUCGAAUUCGGGAGAGGAUAGCGGAAUUUCCAGUGUAGUAGUGAAAUACGUAGAUAUUGGAAGGAACACCAGUGGCGUAAGCGGCUAUCUGGACCGACAUUGACGCUGAGGCACGAAAGCGUGGGGAUCAAACAGG
rnacentral:rRNA from 1 species